rnacentral:tRNA from 1 species
GCGGCGGUGGCGGAGCGGAAACGCGACUGCCUUCCAAACAGUUGUCCCAAGGGAUUCGCGGGUUCGAAUCCCGUCCGCCGCA